UUGUGGGGGAGGACGCCGAAGGUGGGGCUAAUGACUGGGGUGAAGUCGUAACAAGGUAGCCGUACCGGAAGGUGCGGCUGGAUCACCUCCUAACAGGGAGACAACAAAAUGUUUAAUAUUAUUAUUUUGUCACCUUAGGUCGAUCGGUAUCUCACGUUCUUAAUUAGUUAAGAAUUUCAUUUCCUAAGUUUUUCUAGGUCACACCCAUUAUUUUUCCUGGGCCAUUAGCUCAGGUGGUUAGAGCGCACCCCUGAUAGGGGUGAGGUCCCUGGUUCAAGUCCAGGAUGGCCCAUAUCUCUAUGUUGGGGGUAUAGCUCAGUUGGUAGAGCGCCUGCUUUGCAAGCAGGAUGUCAGCGGUUCGAGUCCGCUUACCUCCACUGAUUACCACCUCUUCUAUAAUCUUUAGAAAGGAAAUGUUUUGAGUUGUGAUCAAAUUCUGAACGAAUCUAGCUUCCUAAUGAAAACAUUAAGAUGCUGGACUCAUUGAAUUAAUUUCAUUGUUUUCAGAGAACCUUGACAACUGCAUAGAUUAUUUUUUAAAGACAAUAAGCAUCUUUAAUGAUGCAGAUUUAUUAUUUGUGCGAAUGCAUUAAUAACAAUUCUAUUAAGCUGAUGCUUCAAUUUUGAAGUUAUUGGUCAAGCUACAA
rnacentral:misc_RNA from 1 species